AACGUAGGUUCCGAGCGUUAUCCGGAUUUACUGGGCGUAAAGCGCGUUCAGGCGGUUUGGCAAGUCGGGCAUGAAAUCUCUCGGCUCAACCGGGAGAGGUUGUCCGAUACUGCUGGACUUGAGGGCAGUAGAGGGUGGUGGAAUUCCGGGUGUAGUGGUGAAAUGCGUAGAUAUCCGGAGGAACACCAGUGGCGAAAGCGGCCACCUGGACUGUACCUGACGCUAACACGCGAAAGCUAGGGGAGCGAACGGG
rnacentral:rRNA from 1 species